rnacentral:rRNA from 1 species
CCUACGGGAGGCAGCAGUGAGGAAUAUUGGUCAAUGGCCGUAAGGCUGAACCAGCCAAGUCGCGUGAAGGAAGAAGGCUCUAUGGUUUGUACACCUCUUUUGUCGGGGACUAAAGGUAUCCACGUGUGGCUAUUUGCAUGUACCCUAUGAAUAAGCAUCGGCUAACUCCGUGCCAGCAGCCGCGGUAAUACGGAGGAUGCGAGCGUUAUCCGGAUUUAUUGGGUUUAAAGGGUGCGUAGGUAGUUGUUUAAGUCAGCGGUGAAAGUUGUUGGGUCAACCAUAAAAGUGCCGUUGAAACUGGAAGACAUGAGUGUGUGUGAGGUAGGCGGAAUGCGUGGUGUAGCGGUGAAAUGCAGAGAGAUCACGCAGAACUCCGAUUGCGAAGGCAGCUUACUAAGGCAAAACUGACACUGAAGCACGAAAGCGUGGGGAUCGAACAGGAUUAGAUACCCUAGUAGUC